GACGAACGCUGGCGGCGUGCCUAAUACAUGCAAGUAGGACGCAGUUGCGCACGGGUGAGUAACGCGUAGGUAACUACCUAUUAGAGGGGGAUAACUAUUGGAAACGAUAGAUAAUACCGCAUACUAGUAGUUGGACCUGCGUUGUAUUAGCUAGGAGGUAGGGGAAGGGUCUACCUAGGCAACGAUACAUAGCCGACCUGGGAGUGUGAUCGGCCACGCUGGGACUGAGACACGACCCAGACACCGACGGGAGGCGUCAGUAGGGAAUCGUCGGCAAUGGGGGGAAGCCUGACCAAGCAACGCAGCGUGAGUGAAGAAGUUUUUCGGAUCAUAAAUCUCUGUUGUUAAGGAAGCGGUUUUUAGCCAGAAAGGGACGGCUAACUACGUGCCAGCAGCCGCGGUAAUAC
rnacentral:rRNA from 1 species